GAUGAACGCUGGCGGCGUGCCUAAUACAUGCAAGUCGAGCGAACGGACGAGAAGCUUGCUUCUCUGAUGUUAGCGGCGGACGGGUGAGUAACACGUGGAUAACCUACCUAUAAGACUGGGAUAACUUCGGGAAACCGUAGCUAAUACCGGAUAAUAUUUUGAACCGCAUGGUUCAAAAGUGAAAGACGGUCUUGCUGUCACUUAUAGAUGGAUCCGCGCUGCAUUAGCUAGUUGGUAAGGUAACGGCUUACCAAGGCAACGAUGCAUAGCCGACCUGAGAGGGUGAUCGGCCACACUGGAACUGAGACACGGUCCAGACUCCUACGGGAGGCAGCAGUAGGGAAUCUUCCGCAAUGGGCGAAAGCCUGACGGAGCAACGCAGCGUGAGUGAUGAAGGUCUUCGGAUCGUAAAACUCUGUUAUUAGGGAAGAACAUAUGUGUAAGUAACUGUGCACAUCUUGGCGGUACCUAAUCAGAAAGCCACGGCUAACUACGUG
rnacentral:rRNA from 1 species